CCUACGGGGUGCAGCAGUGGGGGAUAUUGCACAAUGGGGGAAACCCUGAUGCAGCGACGCCGCGUGGGUGAAGAAGCGCCUCGGCGCGUAAAGCCCUGUCAGCAGGGAAGAAAAUUACGGUACCUGAAGAAGAAGCCCCGGCUAACUACGUGCCAGCAGCCGCGGUAAUACGUAGGGGGCAAUCGUUAUCCGGAUUUACUGGGUGUAAAGGGGGCGCAGACGGCGGUGCAAGCCAGGAGUGAAAGUCCGGGGCCCAACCCCGGGACUGCUUUUGGAACUGGGUGGCUAGAGUGCCUGAGGGGCAGGCGGAAGUCCUGGUGUAGCGGUGAAAUGCGUAGAUAUCAGGAGGAACACCGGUGGCGAAGGCGGCCUGCUGGGCUGCAACUGACGUUGAGGCCCGAAAGCGUGGGGAGCAAACAGGAUUAGAUACCCCAGUAGUC
rnacentral:rRNA from 1 species